GAAAUGCGAUAAGUAAUGUGAAUUGCAGAAUUCAGUGAAUCAUCGAAUCUUUGAACGCACAUUGCGCCCGCCAGUACUCUGGUGGGCAUGCCUGUUCGAGCGUCAUUUCAACCAUCAAGCCCCCGGCUUGUGUUGGGGACCUGCGGCUGCCCGCAGGCCCUGAAAAACAGUGGCGGGCUCGCUGUCACACCGAGCGUAGUAGCAUACAUUCUCGCUCAGGGCGUGCUGCGGGUUCCGGCCGUUAAACGACCUUCAUAACCCAAGGUUGACCUCGGAUCGGGUAGGAAGACCCGCUGAACUUAAGC
rnacentral:misc_RNA from 1 species